AUGUAAAUACUUAGUUGGAACUGUCGGGGUUUGGGUCAACCUCGCAUAGUUCUGGAGUUAGUGUGUCUCUCUAAGACACACCAAUCCAAUGUUAUCUUUCUCUUUGAAACAAGGAAAAAUAAAGAAUAUGUCGAGCGUUUGCGUUAUCGACUGGGUAUGAGUAAUGUUUUUACCUAUUCUUCUCCAGGGAAAGGUGGUGGUCUUGCGGUGUUCUGGGAUGAUUCAUAUACUUUAGAGUUGAACAAAUAUGGGGAGCAUUUCAUUGAUAUGUUUGUCUGUACUGCUAAUGGAGCAAAGUGGAGAAGCACUUUUAUCUAUGGAGAGCCUAAGGCUAGUCAAAGGUACGUCAUGUGGGAACUUAUGCGGAGAAUUAAGCCUAUGGGUUCUGAUCCAUGGUUCAUGAUUGAAGACUUCAAUGAAGCCAUGUGGCAAAAUGAACAUUUUUCCCGAAAUAAAAGGUAUAACUCUUUGAUGGCUGAUUUUAGGAGUGUGCUCUCUGAUUGUAAUGUUUUUGACUUGGGUUUUCAUGGUACUCCGUGGACUUAUGACAACAAGCAACAUGGCUCCAAAAAUGUUAGAGUAAGAUUGGACAGAGCCGUUGCAUGUCCUCAAUGGUCGCGCUAUUUACGGAGUGCAGGGCGUCUCAUAUUAUUAGCUCAAGAUAUGACCAUUGCCCUCUGCUCAUUCAAUUGUUGGGGUUGCCUCGGCAAGGAAAAAUUGUUAAACAACUUAAAUACGAGGCAUACUGGGAGAGGGAAGGAGUCGUGUUAG
rnacentral:rRNA from 1 species